UACCAGCACCCCGAGUGGUCGGGACGUUUUAUUGGGCCUAAAGCAUCCGUAGCCGGUUCUACAAGUCUUCCGUUAAAUCCAGCUGCUUAACAGAUGGGCUGCGGAAGAUACUAUGGAGCUAGGAGGCGGGAGAGGCAAGCGGUACUCGAUGGGUAGGGGUAAAAUCCGUUGAUCCAUAGAAGACCACCAGUGGCGAAGGCGGCUUGCCAGAACGCGCUCGACGGUGAGGGAUGAAAGCUGGGGGAGCAAACCGG
rnacentral:rRNA from 1 species